AUGGGGUCGGGGACUCGGGGACGUGGAAUGGGAUUGGGGUUGGGGGCGGUGGAUGGACGGAUCUUGGGGACGGAUCUCAUGAGCCUGGAGAUGGAGCCCAGCAGCAGAGGGCAGAAGUCAAACAGUAGCAGGGCCGACAGCAGCGGCAGCCCGGAGAUGGAGCUCCGGCGGCAGCAAGAGCCCAGAUAUGGAGCCCCGCAGCAGCAGGUGCGGAAGCAGCGGGAGCCCAGAGAUGGAUCCCCGGCAGCCGCAGGACGGGGAUUGACGAUGACGUUGGCUGGACGUUGGGGGGAGGGGGUUGUGCGCGGACAGCGACUGGAUGGACAGCGCGAGGACGGCGCCUCGAUAUAG
rnacentral:rRNA from 1 species